rnacentral:rRNA from 1 species
AUUGAACGCUGGCGGCAGGCCUAACACAUGCAAGUCGAACGAGUGGCGGACGUGUGAGUAAUGUCUGGGAAACUGCCUGAUGGAGGGGGAUAACUACUGGAAACGGUAGCUAAUACCGCAUACCAUCAGAUGUGCCCAGAUGGGAUUAGCUAGUUGGUGGGGUAACGGCUCACCAAGGCGACGAUCCCUACCUGGUCUGAGAGGAGGACCAGCCACACUGGAACUGAGAAAAGGGCCAGACGCCUACGGGAGGCAGGAGUGGGGAAUAUUGCAGAAUGGGCGCAAGCCUGAUACAGCCAUGCCGCGUGUAUGAAGAAGGCCUUCGGGUUGUAAAGUACUUUCAGCGGGGAGGCGUUACCCGCAGAAGAAGCACCGGCUAACUCCGUGCCAGCAGCCGCGGUAAUUC